CCAGUACAGGCACUUGUCCCAGGUCACACAGCCAGGAAGUGGAACAAGCUGCUGCAGUUCCGGCAUUCCCAGCAUUCUGCUCCUGGAAAUAAGUUUGGCAGGUGCCUAAAUGCAACCUCAAGUGUUGGGACUUACGAACCAUCUGGAAGGAGGCACCCUCCGUUACCAGAGAGAACACAGUCUGACUGAAGCAGUCAUCAGUCUAGAGCCUUUCCGGAAGGACACCCAGGAAACUGCCAGCAGUAGUUGCCUUUGGGAAGGAGCCUGAGGGAGGUCGGGCUCCAACUCUUGCUGUGCCCUGCUUCCAGAACACCUGUCUGUACGCCCUCAUCUGCUUGACUUCAUUCCCAGGCAUCCACCAGGAACGCAGCCCACCGGUUGUGGGCUACCUCUGGGCUCUGACAGUCCUUAGUCUCUCCCCCUCCCCACCACCAGGCCGCAGCAUCCCCGUCCUCAUCUCCUUGCCCUUGGCCCUGACACCACACCGGGAGUUCCUGACUGUGGUGAGGGAGGAUCCACAACCUGCUUCUUUGGGAACGUUCUCAGAGCUGGCAAAAGGCGGCUGCUGGGUGGUAAGGUUUGCUGGACGACGGGACACGGCAGCGUGAAAGGCAGUCAGGGAGUGUCACCGAGGGCCCUCCACACCCCAGGCUGGCUUCUGAAGGCCCACUCCAACUUCCCAACUCAGUCUGAAGCACUGACUGGGGCCCACAGCUGAGAGCAGCAGGGACCCUCAGCGAAACCGAGGCAGCCAUGGGGGUGAGAGGCCAGAACGGGGGUCUGAUGAGCCAAAGAGGUGGUCUGAGGCCAGGACCCUGUAGGGCAGCCACGAGAACCAAAGACGGGGGAACUCAGAAGCCUGACUCCAUGCGCUUUCACUUUUGAAAGGGCUAUGGGCCAUUCUCAGCCUCCAUUUCCCCAGAUACACAUGGUAGCAGCUGGACUCCAAAGUUGUCACACAGAUCAGAGUCCUUCCUGCGAGAAUAGCCCAGGUCAGAAAGGGGAAAGGCUGGGGAUGAAGCAGGCUCCUUGGGGCUUGGCCAGGAGAACUAGCUUUUAGCCAAGAGAGCCCCCUGGCAACCUCUGCUGCUACCCAGCCCCAUUCAUCACCACCAGCCUGCUUCUCAUCCUCACCCAGGACAGAGCAGAGGGGCUUGAUUCCCACUCGGCCAAGCCGUGUCCGCCAUGCUCUUGCCCUCGCCCAACACUGCAUCCCUUUUGGGGUUGGGGGCCCCUAGGAAACCCCCGUCUUCACUCCUACUGCUCAUCAGCUGGGUACCUUGGGCUCUGGGUUGCAGGUAUGCAUCCCCUUCUCAGUCACCUGCCUUGGAGCAGGUCUCUGGAUAGGAGACAACUGUUUCAAGGUCAGGGUAGCUCAGGCAAGCUCAGAACCUGCCUUCUGGCUUCCCAGCCACGAAAGUGCUGGCAUCCCUGCCUCACAGCCUCACAGGCAGGAUCACUACCAGCCCGAUGAAGUUCUUGUGAAGGUAAAAAAAGAAAAAGAAAAAAAAGAUGAUCAGGAAAGCAUCUGGUACAUAGGAAGAGCUCAAUAAAUGAUGGCUUUUGUUAUUAUUUCCUCAUGCCCUCUUCCUAGCACACCUUUGGUUGGGGGGGUGGGGGGAGUUCCCUGGAUGAAUUUUUAAUGCAAUACCUGACUAAUUAAUCAGGGGCACUGAUCUCCUUCCUUUUAGACUGUCAAAUAAAAAAUGAUAACAGGCCUGGCUGGCAAGGCUCAGUGGUUGAACCAGGAGGUCACGGUUAGAUCCCUGGUCAGGGCACAGACCCAGGUUGUUUGAUCCCCAGUGUAAUGUCUGCAGGAGGCAGCCGAUCAA